UAUACUGGUGGGCGACCUAGAACUUAAAUGUAUUCCCGCAUUAUACUGGUGGGCGACCUAGAACUUAAAUGUAUUCCCGCAUUAUACUAGUGGGCGACCUAGAACUUAAAUGUAUUCCCGCAUUAUACUGGUGGGCGACCUAGAACUUAAAUGUAUUCCCGCAUUAUACUGGUGGGCGACCUAGAACUUAAAUGUAUUCCCGCAUUAUACUGGUGGGCGACCUAGAACUUAAAUGUAUUUGAAAUUGUUCCCCCGUUCUUACGAGAAAAUUUUUGAC
rnacentral:lncRNA from 1 species